GAAUCUUAGACAAUGGGGGAAACCCUGAUCCAGCCAUGCCGCGUGUGUGAAGAAGGUCUUCGGAUUGUAAAGCACUUUAAGUUGGGAGGAAGGGCAUUAACCUAAUACGUUAGUGUUUUGACGUUACCGACAGAAUAAGCACCGGCUAACUUCGUGCCAGCAGCCGCGGUAAUACGAAGGGUGCAAGCGUUGAUCGGAAUUACUGGGCGUAAAGCGCGCGUAGGUGGUUUGUUAAGUUGAAUGUGAAAGCCCCGGGCUCAACCUGGGAACUGCAUCCAAAACUGGCAAGCUAGAGUAUGGCAGAGGGUGGUGGAAUUUCCUGUGUAGCGGUGAAAUGCGUAGAUAUAGGAAGGAACACCAGUGGCGAAGGCGACCACCUGGGCUAAUACUGACACUGAGGUGCGAAAGCGUGGGGAGCAAACAGG
rnacentral:rRNA from 1 species